rnacentral:rRNA from 1 species
GACGAACGCUGGCGGCGUGCUUAACACAUGCAAGUCGAACGGCAAGGCCCUGCUUUUGUGGGGUGCUCGAGUGGCGAACGGGUGAGUAACACGUGAGUAACCUGCCCUUGACUUUGGGAUAACUUCAGGAAACUGGGGCUAAUACCGGAUAGGAGCUCCUGCUGCAUGGUGGGGGUUGGAACGUUUCGGCGGUUGGGGAUGGACUCGCGGCUUAUCAGCUUGUUGGUGGGGUAGUGGCUUACCAAGGCUUUGACGGGUAGCCGGCCUGGGAGGGUGACCGGCCACAUUGGGACUGAGAUACGGCCCAGACUCCUACGGGAGGCAGCAGUGGGGAAUAUUGCACAAUGGGCGGAAGCCUGAUGCAGAAACGCCGCGUGCGGGAUGACGGCCUUCGGGUUGUAAACCGCUUUCGCCUGUGACGAAGCGGGAGUGACGGUAAUGGGUAAAGAAGCACCGGCUAACUACGUG